rnacentral:rRNA from 1 species
UACAGAGGGUGCGAGCGUUAAUCGGAAUUACUGGGCGUAAAGGGUGCGUAGGCGGUUUUAUAAGUUAGGUGUGAAAUUCCUGGGCUUAACCUGGGGACUGCGCCUAAUACUGUAAAGCUAGAGUACUGUAGAGGAAAGUGGAAUUUCCGGUGUAGCAGUGAAAUGCGUAGAUAUCGGAAGGAACAUCAGUGGCGAAGGCGACUUUCUGGACAGAUACUGACACUGAGGCACGAAAGCGUGGGGAGCAAACAGG